rnacentral:rRNA from 1 species
GAUGAACGCUGGCGGCGUGCCUAAUACAUGCAAGUCGAGCGAACAGACGAGGAGCUUGCUCCUCUGACGUUAGCGGCGGACGGGUGAGUAACACGUGGAUAACCUACCUAUAAGACUGGGAUAACUUCGGGAAACCGGAGCUAAUACCGGAUAAUAUAUUGAACCGCAUGGUUCAAUAGUGAAAGACGGUUUUGCUGUCACGUAUAGAUGGAUCCGCGCCGCAUUAGCUAGUUGGUAGGGUAACGGCUUAUCAAGGCAACGAUGCGUAGCCGACCGGAGAGGGUGAUCGGCCACACGGGAACGGAGACAGGGUCCAGACUCCUACGGGAGGCAGCAGUAGGGAAUCGUCCGCAAUGGGCGAAAGCCUGACGGAGCAACGCCGCGUGAGUGAUGAAGGUCUUCGGAUCGUAAAACUCUGUUAUUAGGGAAGAACAAAUGUGUAAGUAACUAUGCACGUCUUGACGGUACCUAAUCAGAAAGCCACGGCUAACUACGUG